UGUCUUUCCUGUCAGAUGGAGAUUCAUUCUCAUCUGAUUUAUGUAGUGAAGAUCGAAAUGCAAGCCAGCAGAGGAGAGAGCUAGUAGAGGGCCAGAGUUCUAGAACUGGGGCACUAAGUACACAUGUGGAGCAAAGGGCUUAUAACCUUCGCCCUCGGAAGGAUGAUUCAGUUACAAUUGAAAGGAGAUCAGAAUUAGCGAGAUUGAGGCGGGAGCAGCAGAAUCAGAGAAGAAAUAAGCGCAAGGAAGCUGAAACUUUGCGUCAGCAAGAGAUAAGGGACUAUGAGGAAUUUACCCGCAGCAAACUCUGGUGGUUUGAUGAAGAACUUCCUGAAAAAAGUGAUAAGGAUUUGGAAGAUAGAAUUGAGGUAACAAUUGGUGGUACAGGGGCAAAAGUGGG